UGCCAGCAGCCGCGGUAAUACGGAGGGUGCAAGCAUUAAUCGGAUUUAUUGGGCGUAAAGAGCGCGUAGGCGGAAAGGCAAGUCAGAUGUGAAAUCCCGGGGCUCAACCUCGGAACUGCACCUGAAACUGCCUUCCUAGAGGGUAGGCGGAGAAAGCGGAAUUCCACGUGUAGCGGUGAAAUGCGUAGAUAUGUGGAAGAACACCAGUGGCGAAGGCGGCUUUCUAGCUUAUUCCUGACGCUGAGGCGCGAAAGCUAGGGGAGCGAACAGGAUUAGAUA
rnacentral:rRNA from 1 species